AGACCAUGUCUACCUCGAUCCACCAUCCCCUUCAUGGAAUUCUCAUCCCACAACCUCUCCUACCUCGCCCAGCUCCACCACUUCUCGUCCAUCUUCAGAUGAGUAGAUCGCCGAACUCAUGAAACCACGACACCUUCGGAAUAGUUUUAGUUCUUCUCUCCGUUCAUACCUUGUUAAUUUCAUCGCUACAUGAUCUGAUUCACUUGAAGCGCAGGGUUCCAAGAUCGCGACUUCAUGGGGAUGAUAUGGAGUGGGUUUCGGGGUUAAAUCUGGAUUUCCGCCGCUCCAAGCAGCAGCUCGCGGCCUCAAUCCUCUCCAUGGCGCAACAGCAACAUCUCAGGUUCGAGAUAUCGGAGAUGGGAAGGAGCUAUAGCGCACGGAGGAGACCAAAACCAUAACUAUCUCUUCAAUAUCAUCUUGAUCAGUUUCCAAAAACUGUCUCUUAUUACUGAAUUCCCAAGCGUCGUGUAGUUGAAGGUUAGUUUUGAAAAGCGGGUUAUUGUGAUAGAGAUUUUGAGGGUAAACAAAAAGAUGCUACACAUGUCCAUUACAGAAAUACAAAUGGAAAGAUUAUGAAAGAAGAAAGCCAAACAAGGGUAGAUGGAUUCCAGAUUCCAUGCCUCUGCGCGUGCGGAAUCAUCUACAAGUUUCAGCUGCAAGUGGAUUCUUAUAGCUGCCAUAGAGUAUCAUUUUAAAAAGCAAUUAGCAGGAACAGUCAAUAAAUUCUAUUUUGAUUGAGGAGUCAUGGUCUGGUGCUUGCUCAGUAAGAAGUCACUCAGCAUUGAGUAUGGCCAUGCUAUAUCUUUGUCAUUCCUUAUACUUGCAAUUGGGGGCAAUGUUUCCAAGGCAUCUACCUCUUCUCUUUGCAUUUGGAUUCCCUCAGGUUUAAACUCAUCAUUCAUUUCCAAUUGUAUGUCUUUUUCUCUCAGCAAGUUUUGAAAUUCUUUGCUACAUCAUUUUGUCUAUCGUGGCAUACUACUCUAACUUGGUCCUUUUAAUUGCUCUCUUAAUUGUUGUUUUAGUGACUUUGGGGCUGUAGCAUAUGACAAUUUAUUGGCUUGAUUUCUUCAUGUAAUUAUUUUCUCAGCAGGCUAGACUCUUAUACUAUUACUGGAACUAUAUUCAGUGUUGUACCAUUGUUAAUUCAUUCAGUGUCAAGUUACUUUUGUGAAUUGCAGUGUCCAUUUCUGAUGAUGGAGAGAGUCUUUCAAAACUCUGUGCAAUUAACCAUGUUUCCACCCUCUGACAUGGGAAAGACAUAUGGAGAAUUCAGGUUCGGGUGCUGAGGAUGUGGGAGAUGUGCCCAAUAUUUGAGCCGGGCAAGCCACUUGCAGUGCAGCUGGUGCUAAUUGAUGCUAAGCUUACUUUGACUGAUACAUCAGCUGCACAAGCAAUGAAGGGGAAGGACAACCAUGUAUUCCAUGGGAAGCAAGGGAAAAUGGAAGCUAUGAGGAAAAGUGUGUCAUAAAUUUUACUUUUAUUUUAUUUUGUAAUUCAUAGACUGAACUUUUAAUUUUUUUUCCAUGGAUAUUUUUUAAUUUUUUGUUGUGAUUUCAGUUGAGGUUCUGAUUUGACUUUUGGAUUUUUUAAUGCUCUAUCCUAGGUUAUGUUAUGUGGCAGGCUAAGUGAUUAGGUUGCCCUAUUGUGCUUUGCAUUGCAAUGGAUGUUCAUGUCACAACUGUUGAGGGCCCUUAGUGGGAGUGUGAAAUCUACUUUAUUUUAGCCUUUUAAGGUUUAUGUUCCA